rnacentral:rRNA from 1 species
AUGCAUGAUGAUGGUGCUAAAGGAAUACUAGAAAAAGCUUGGGUCAAGGUGGGUGGAAUCCCAACAGACAAAACAUAUGAGAGGAAUGUGGCAUUUGUAGCUUCUCUGGCAGGAGUACCACUGGAGAUUGAUAAGGCAACUAUGCACCGUCCCAAUUCUGUUAGAGUCAAAUUAGGCUGUCGUAAUGUUGAUGAGAUCAUCCCAGUGGCUGAGUCAGUCCUGGGGGAUCGAUUUUAUGAUUUUACCUUCGAUGUGGAGCAAGUGUUGAGACUAGACAAAUAUCGUCGUAAAUUCUUUUGGUGUGGAGGGAUGGGCAAAAAGCGGUAUUAUCUGGUUAAGUGGACUCGGGUGUGCCGUUCCAAGAACAAAGGAGGUCUAGGUGUUAAAGAUCUCCACAAACAGAACAUUUUUCUUUUAGCUAAAUGGUGGUGGAAAUUGGAUACAGGGGAAGGACUUUGGCAAGAAGUAGUAAGAGCAAAAUACCCGAGGAAUAAUUCUGUUGCAAAUGUUAAGACCAAAUUUAGUGAUUCCCCUGUGUGGAAAGCACUGCUUAAAGUGAAAGAAAUUUAUAUGGCUGGGAGGAAAGUAAAUGUCAAAAAUGGUAAAAUUGUCAGAGUCUGGCAUGAUCCUAUUGGCACCCACCCUCCUUUAUGUGAAGUGUAUCCUGACCUGUUUAGCAUUGCUAACUAUCAGGAUGACACGAUUGCCCAAUUUAAGAGCCGGGAUACUGGGGAGAUCUUUAGGCGCAGAUUGAAUACAGAUUUGAACCGUCACUAUGAGGGGGUUAAUGAUAUAGUUGAUAGCCUAGAACCCGUAGCGGGCCAAGAUGAGAUUGUAUGGGCCCUUGAUUCCAAGGGCAAAUACACAACUAAAUAUGUGUAUGAUUAUUUAGAGAGAGGCCUGGCCGGGUGUGACUACAGAUGGAUCUGGAAAGCUAAAUUGCCUGUCAAAAUCCAGAUCUUCCUCUGGCAACUCUUUCAAGAUGCUAUCUUGACUCGAGAUGUUAUGAAGCGUAGAAAUUGGGCUGGCAAUCCUCGCUGGCAGGGCUUCUGA